UACAGAUGCCCCUGAGGCAUAUAGAUUCCAUUGCCUAAAGGUAGUUGGUAAUAGAUGGAGGGAUUGGAAGUGCCAACUGAAGCAGAAAUGGAUAGAUGAAUUAUCAAUGAUAAAACCAUCUUAUAGGAAUGUUCUGAGACGAAUAAGGUCAAUCGUGCACAAGGAGGUGCUCCACAUAGGACUAGUCUCACAUCAUUUGCUCAGUUGAGAAAUGUGAUGAAAGAGAAAGGAGAGAAGACUGAUCGUCUGAGCAUGUUU